CCCUUAGAUGUUCUGGGCUGCACGCGCGCUACACUGAUGCGCUCAACGAGUUUUAACCUUGCCUGGAAAGGUUGGGUAAUCUUUUUAAAACGCAUCGUGAUGGGGAUAGAUUAUUGCAAUUAUUAAUCUUCAACGAGGAAUUCCUAGUAAGCGCGAGUCAUCAGCUCGUGCUGAUUACGUCCCUGCCCUUUGUACACACCGCCCGUCGCUCCUACCGAUUGAGCAAACCGGUGAAUAGUUUGGACCGUCGGCUUUCUCGGUUCGCCGGGUUAGCAGUGCGGAAAAUUCAGUGAACCUUUUUGCUUAGAGGAAGGAGAAGUCGUAACA
rnacentral:rRNA from 1 species